rnacentral:sRNA from 1 species
ACCUGCUGUGGAGUUGGAUCUUGAACCCGGCAUCUAUGAAGCCGUAUCUGUUUAAAAUUCUUCCAGCGUCGUAGAGGGGAGAAUCUCCGCUCUUUGGUGGGCCGCAAUGGGGCAGCGAGAGGAGGUUCUUAGUCCGCCUUUCUUGAAAGUUACUCCUACCGACCACGGCGCUUGGGUUAUCCUGUCCAGUUGCAUCCUCCUUAUUCUGACCGUCAUCGUGGUGCUCGUGACUCUGAUAUCACGGGCAAGAGUGCUUCGCAAACUGGUUUUAUGUGACUUGUUACUCUCCUUAGCUACGAUACUUCUGUUUGUUGAGACCAUAUGUAUAAAUUUCGCUUGUUCAAAUGGCCUCGGUCGGCAUCGCAAUGCCCUAAGCGAGAAAUUAUUCCAGUCGUUUGCUAAGG